GGAGAGAUGGCCGAGCGGUUGAAGGCGGUUGACUCGAAAUCAACUGUGCGACUCUUUCGCACCGGGGGUUCGAAUCCCUCUCUCUCCGCCA
rnacentral:tRNA from 1 species